GACGAACGCUGGCGGCGUGCUUAACACAUGCAAGUCGAACGGGAACCUUUAUUUCGGUAAAGGUGAGAGUGGCAAACGGGUGAGUAACACGUAGGCAACCUGCCGACAGGAUGGGGACAACAUUCCGAAAGGAAUGCUAAUACCGAAUGGAGUCCGAGGAUGGCAUCAUCCUUGGAUAAAAGAUGGCCUCUUAACAAUGCUAUCGCCUGUUGAUGGGCCUGCGUCUGAUUAGCCGGUUGGCGGGGUAACGGCCCACCAAAGCGACGAUCAGUAGCCGGUCUGAGAGGAUGAACGGCCACAUUGGGACUGAGACACGGCCCAGACUCCUACGGGAGGCAGCAGUGGGGAAUCUUCCACAAUGGGCGAAAGCCUGAUGGAGCAACGCCGCGUGAGUGAAGAAGGUCUUCGGAUCGUAAAGCUCUGUUGCACGGGACGAAAACUGGGUUUGAAAAC
rnacentral:rRNA from 1 species